UGGGGAAUAUUGCACAAUGGGCGCAAGCCUGAUGCAGCCAUGCCGCGUGUGUGAAGAAGGCCUUCGGGUUGUAAAGCACUUUCAGCGGGGAGGAAGGCGAUAAGGUUAAUAACCUUGUCGAUUGACGUUACCCGCAGAAGAAGCACCGGCUAACUCCGUGCCAGCAGCCGCGGUAAUACGGAGGGUGCAAGCGUUAAUCGGAAUUACUUGGCGUAAAGCGCACGCAGGGGGUCUGUCAAGUCGGAUGUGAAAUCCCCGGGCUCAACCUGGGAACUGCAUUCGAAACUGGCAGGCUAGAGUCUUGUAGAGGGGGGUAGAAUUCCAGGUGUAGCGAUGAAAUGCGUAGAGAUCUGGAGGAAUACCGGUGGCGAAGGCGGCCCCCUGGACGAAGACUGACGCUCAGGUGCGAAAGCGUGGGGAGCAAACAGG
rnacentral:rRNA from 1 species